CCUGGGUAUACCUGCAAGUGGAGCAUAGGGCCAUGGAGGAUGGGGGCUGCCUCUGAGCCUUAGGGUCCAGACAAAUAUGGUUUCUUCAAAGAAGGAGGGCAGAACAAAAGUGGAGCAUGGUACGGCGGUGGUAGAGAUGACCAGGCAUUGAGCAGGAUGACCUUUGUCUCCCUUCUUCCAGCAGAGAUGGGAAGUGGAAGCUGGAGAGUCCCACAUCCCCAGAUAGGAUAAGGCUCCCAAAGAGAGGCUCAUGGAACGUAAUCUCAACACAGCCCUCAACACCUUAGUCAGCCUGCUCUAACCUCCCAACUUAUCAAGCUGGCAGCUUCGCAAUCAUGAGAUGAAACAGAAUAAGGUGGGAAUUCAGUCUGCAUUUCUCUACUUCCUGGGUUAUCACUUUCCAAAGCUGAUUCCUUUUUGUGGUCUGAUUCGAUAUAUGACUCACCUUCCAAAAACUUGCAUGAAGACGUGAAUAUUUCCCCUGAAGAUCUUAGCUGAGGACCUGUUCUGAUUGCAGUUAGCUGUGGGCACCGUGUCCUUAGCCAGAAGAGCUGCAAGCCUGGGUCUUCAGGGGUGCAAACUUGAGAACAUCUCUCUACAAGGAAGAAAAUUCAAGGGAAAAUGGAGAACAAGGCUCAGGUGGUGAGGGUAGACAGAGCCACCAUGGCCUGUUCCCCGGUCUCCUUUAGCCUUGGGCCAGCUGCUUUGCAGGUCAAGCCAUCUUUCUAAACUCCACCUUUACUUGUCGCUCUCCCCUGAUUUGGCUUGCAGAGACUAUGAAUAAACUG